UGCUGUCCAUGGCUGGAUGUGAAGGCUUCUGCUGGGUCAGGCUGCUCCUGUAAACUGGAAGCCCUCACCAUACUGCUGAGUGAGAUGGGGAUCAGUGUGUAUGUGCAGUGCUAGGAGGGAAGGAAAUGGAUGGGUGCUGGGGAGAGAGCUAAUGGCUGCUAAUCCCCUCCCCUUCCUAGGCUGUCACUGACUCCCUACAGAUGUUUUACAGCAGAGUGCAUGAGGUGGGUGUCUGAGUGCAUAGUUUGUGUGAGUGUGUGAUCUGUGAGUAGAGAAGGAGUUAGGCAGGUAUGUCAUUUUUGGGGGUCUUUGCAUAUUUUGCAAAUAAAAAUAAAAGUAACAAAAACGGUGUGGGUGCGGUGGCCGCGGGGUGCAGGGGAAGGUAAGUUUUACUUUCCUCAAGCUGUCUCAAAUGGUUGCCGCCAUCUUGGUCAAGAAGGUCAUCUUCAACUCCUGGUGCUUGAGUUGCCAGUAGCGGCAUUGGUACUGUAUUGUAGAGCAUGCGCGGGAAGUAGAACACUGAGGUCUAUUGAGGAUUCCGCAAGACUGCGGGAGUCUCUAUAGAUAAUGCCUGAAUCCCACGACAGCUGCUGGGAUUGGAAAAACGUUGAUGGCAGAGAUCCACCUUUUGUCAACCUCAUAAAAAAAUAUAACGAACUACCCUUAAUCUCUGUCAAUAUACAAAAUAUAAUGAAACA